CACUGUGGGAAGGGAGCAGGGGAGCCGUGGGCAGCGCGUUGGCCAGCAGAGGGCGACGUGGCUGGCAUGGAUCAGGUUGCUGUCUAUCCCGGGUGGGAUCUGAAGUUUGAGCCUCAGCGCGUUUCUAGGAUUUCCUGGCCUUGGCGGAGCUACUGUCUUCUGUUUCUGGCUGUGGAGUCUGAGGAUGAAUUUGUUCCCAAGUUCAGUAGAAAUAAAAUCCUUCAGGCAAGAAGC